rnacentral:rRNA from 1 species
AGAGUUUGAUCCUGGCUCAGGGAGAACCCGGGCGGGCGUCUUAACCCCAACAAAUUGAACGGUGGCACUAGAGCUUGCUCUGGGUGAUCAGUGGCGAACGGUGGAGUAACACGGGACUAACCCUGCCCCUUGACUUCUGGGAUAAGUCCGGGAAACCGGGGCUAAUACCGGAUACGAGACGCGACCCGCAUGUUCAGGCGUCUGGAAAGUUUUUCGGUCAAGGAUGGACUCGCGGCCUAUCAGCUUGUUGGUGAGGUAAUGGCUCACCAAGGCGUCGACGGGUAGCCGGCCUGAGAGGGCGACCGGCCACACUGGGACUGAGACACGGCCCAGACUCCUACGGGAGGCAGCAGUGGGGAAUAUUGCACAAUGGGCGAAAGCCUGAUGCAGCGACGCCGCGUGAGGGAUGAAGGCCUUCGGGUUGUAAACCUCUUUCAGCAGGGAAGAAGCGAAA